GCCUAAACCAGACUUCUUUGUAAGAUUUCAUCUUGGUGUGCCACUGCCUUCUACUAAAUGAAGCAAAGCAGAAAAUUAGGUGCUCUAGCACUUCCCAGGAUGCAAGUGGUUGCUGUCGUUUUCUGACUGCAUGAGACAGGCACUAAAACUGUCGGCGUGGUGAAACUGCACUGUGUUGGAUCUUCACUGAGCAUCUUUUUCUCUAUUUUCAUUUUUGUCGGCUGCAAUAUAAGGCUGUUCCUACUCAUAAAACUUAAACUGCAUCAUCACUUACAACUGGAAAACAACAAGGCCUAAAACAUAACUCAUAGGUGUAUGUUGAAGAGUAAUGUAGAACAGUUUUCUGCAAAAAGACACGAAAAGAACGAAAUAAGCAUUAGGUGCAAUUCUCAUUAAGCAGCUAUGCAGAUCAUCAGGCAUCUCACCCUAUCUGCCAAACUGUCCUCUGCUGAAGAAAAACCAAUGGUCCCAGGUGCUUGCACAGACAUCUCAGGUCCUUCAUGAACAAAC